rnacentral:rRNA from 1 species
UUUAAAUUUAAUUUUUUUAUCAAAUUAGUAUUAGUUAAGUUCUUGAAAAUUAAAGAUUUUGGCGGUAUUUUAGUCUUUUCAGAGGAACCUGUUCUAUAAUUGAUAAUCCACGAUUAAUUGGACUUUUAUUAUUAAUUUGUAUAUCGUCGUAUAAGAAUAUUUUAAAAGAAAUUGAAUAUUCAAUAUUUUUUAUUUAAUUAUAAAUCAGAUCAAGGUGCAGUUUAUAUAAAAGAAGAAAUGGGUUACAAUAAAUAAAUUUAUAUGGAUAUAAAAAUGAAAUUUUUUAUUGAAAGUGGAUUUGAGAGUAAUUUUAUUUAUUUAAAUAAUAUGAUUUUAGCUCUAAAAUAUGU